AAGGGGGGUUGAAAUCUUCAUUCACUUAAGGACGACAGCUAUUAGAAGCAAGCAACCAUGUCUGGCAAGGGUCUUCAGGGCUUUGCGCAGCAAGCAGAGGAUGCUGCAAACUGCCUGGGGCAGGCCACACAGCAAGCCGUGAACCAAGCUACAGAGGCAGGACAGAAAGUUGUGGAUCAAGCAUUCAAGGCAGCCCAAGACGGGCUUGAAAAAGCAGGUGGACAAGCAGCAAAUACGGUGUCUGGCAUAGAGAAAAAGUUUGGACUCAAAAAGUGAGGACCAUCACAAUGUGCCUUUAAAGCAGAGAAAGAAAGUUAUUAGCAUUGCUUNUUUCUCCUUCAGUCCCUUCUUCAGUUCAGAAAUAUUUUCUUUUUUUCGUUUUCGUUUGGUAACUUUCUAUAAGCAAAAAAACCACAUUCACCCAGCUAUCUCGAAACUAUCCAAGAUUUGAACAACUGAACGCUGCAUGUAUUUGGAUCAUGAUUGUGUCCCGUGUAUUAUAAUACCAUCAGACAACUUGUAAUUUUUAUGUACAAACAAGAUGUUGUUUCACCGGUAUUAUUACAUCAGAAGUACUGGAAAUAUCACACCAAGGAUACAGUUGAGGAACACUUGCUUUCAUUCCUCAAAACUGCAGCAUUAUCAACUGGUGGCCUUAUGGACAAACCUGAGUCCUGAAAUGAGAAUGUUCAGCACUUCCGUUUGUCAGCUGCCAAUAGGAAAGAGGGAUGUGAUAAAGCACUAUUGCUGAAGUUGGAUUUGGCAGCAGAACCAUUUUGAUGGGCAUGGUAUGAAUCUUUGUCCCUUCACAUCAUCUCUUAAAAUCUCUCCCCUAGAAAAUUAGUGAUUGACUCAAGAGGAAGGAGAAUGCAUUAUCCUUAGUCUGUUUUUCUUAGAAGCACGGCUGUGUAAGGUAGUUACCUGUUAGUCCAUUAGCCAAUGGGACCAUUAAUAAAUUUCUAACAAAUAUAUUCA
rnacentral:lncRNA from 1 species